GGCGAGAUGGCCGAGCGGUCUAAGGCGCCAGACUAAGGACCAGGGCAGCAGCUGCCUAUUCCAAUCUGGUCUUUCGAGGCGUGGGUUCGAAUCCCACUCUCGUCA